GCAAGUCGAACGGAGAAUUUUAUUUCGGUAGGAUUCUUAGUGGCGAACGGGUGAGUAACGCGUAGGCAACCUGCCCUUUAGACGGGGACAACAUUCCGAAAGGAGUGCUAAUACCGGAUGAGAUCAUCUGGCCGCAUGGCCGGAUGAAGAAAGAUGGCCUCUACAUGUAAGCUAUCGCUAAAGGAUGGGCCUGCGUCUGAUUAGCUAGUUGGUAGUGUAACGGACUACCAAGGCGAUGAUCAGUAGCCGGUCUGAGAGGAUGAAC
rnacentral:rRNA from 1 species